AGUUCAGACGUGUGCUCUUCCGAUCGGGAUAAGCUCCGUGGUCGAAAGGGAAACAGCCCAGACCGUCGGUUAAGGUCCCUAAAUGCAGGCUAAGUGGCAAAGGAUGUGGAAUUGCACAGACAACCAGGAUGUUGGCUUAGAAGCAGCCAUCAUUUAAAGAAAGCGUAAUAGCUCACUGAUCGAGUCGUCCUGCGCGGAAGAUGUAACGGGGCUAAGCCAGUUACCGAAGCUGCGGAUUUGCAAUUUAUUGCAAGUGGUAGGAGAGCGUUCUGUAAGCCUGAGAAGGUGUCUUGAGAAGGAUGCUGGAGGUAUCAGAAGUGCGAAUGCUGACAUGAGUAGCGUUAAAGGGGGUGAAAAGCCCCCUCGCCGUAAGCGCAAGGUUUUCUACGCAACGUUCAUCGGCGUAGAGUGAGUCGGCCCCUAAGGCGAGGCAGAGAUGCGUAGCUGAUGGGAAACAGGUUAAUAUUCCUGUACCGAUCUAUGGUGCGAUGUGGGGACGGAGAAGGUUAGCUCAGCCAACUGUUGGACAUGUUGGUUCAAGCCUGUAGUCGUGCCUGGUAGGUAAAUCCGCCGGGCUUAGAUGAGGGGUGAUAACGGGUCUGCUUGCAGACGAAGUGAGUGAUACCCUGCUUCCAGGAAAAGCCACUAAGCUUCAGCUACACACGACCGUACCGCAAACCGACACUGGUGCGCGAGAUGAGUAUUCUAAGGCGCUUGAGAGAACUCAGGAGAAGGAACUCGGCAAAUUGACACCGUAACUUCGGAAGAAGGUGUGCCUUUAGUAGGUGAACCAUUUACUUGGGGAGCCGAAUGAGGUUGCAAAAAAUCGGUGGCUGCGACUGUUUAUUAAAAACACAGCACUCUGCAAACACGAAAGUGGACGUAUAGGGUGUGACGCCUGCCCGGUGCUGGAAGGUUAAGGGGAGGGGUUAGCGGUCAGACUAGAAUGGCACGCGAAGCUCCAAACCUAAGCCCCAGUAAACGGCGGCCGUAACUAUAACGGUCCUAAGGUAGCGAAAUUCCUUGUCGGGUAAGUUCCGACCUGCACGAAUGGCGUAACGAUGGCGGCGCUGUCUCCACCCGAGACUCAGUGAAAUUGAAAUCGCUGUGAAGAUGCAG
rnacentral:rRNA from 1 species